UAACUUCACCGACUUUCUUAGGUUGCGUCGAAAAGGAGACUACACUUAAAAAGUAGUUGUGUUAGAUGUCUGCGUUAUACAGCGCCCGAUAUGUUCUGAUAGGCACGAUAACUCUGCAGGGAAUGUUUAUAUGCUUUGGCAAACCAACCGCUUUUCCCACCAAUUUUAAUGGAAGCGAGACCACAGCGCCUCCAUAUAAAUGCGGGCAAGUGUGCACGCGGGAAAAAAAAUGUCCUGAUGGCUGUUUCUGUGGGUUUGUAGGAACCAAAAGUUCUGGCAUCUGCCUCUCCUACGACGAUCCUUAUUGAUACCACGGUAAUAUUACACCAGCGAGAGUGACAGCGCAGUGCGUUACGGGAAAAUAAAUGCUUUGCCUGUCUGUUUGAUUUCUGUACGUGCGUUUCAAGUCCAUUUAUUUGUCAUCACAAAAGCAACCUCCUAAUGCGUAUGACAUACGCAUAAAUACUAUAGCUGCUUCGUAGGAAGCGAAGACAACUGAGCAGUUGCAAUCUUUCAAAAUCGUCGAUCCU
rnacentral:lncRNA from 1 species